AAAGGGAGGGGCUAUUCCUCAAGGUAAAAGGAAAGAGUAAAGACUAGGUGUGUGAAGUCAGCAGGACGACCUGAGCUGCCCAGCAGAUAUCCUCAGACCCCUUGCCAAGACAGACCUCGUUCUCAGUCAGGUUGUGUGCAAGAUGGGCCAAUUCUCAGGUCUGCUUUUGCUGACAGUUCUCUGUGCAUUCUUCGAGGAAACUGAAGCAAAUCCAUUUGUUUACAACUAUGAGAGACUACGAAUUGGAGGCCUGAUCAUUGCAGGCUUGCUUGUAGUAGGUGGCUUGUUUGUCCUACUUAAUCCCAAAUGCACUAGAAAAAACAAAAAAUCUGAAGAUGACACAAGUGAACUCUAAGCAUCUCUAAAGGAUGGAAUCUGACUAACUGGUUGCUGUUGUUCUAAUGAUGAAGAUUCGGGGUGGGAAUGGGGCAGGGCUCUGGCCAUGACAAUGUAAUGACACCUGAAUGGAUGUGAGAGCGGAUGGAGGGUGGGUGGGCCACAAUGCAUCUAUUUACUGUUUUGUUUCUUUAUUGGCUCAAAUGUAUGAGUUUAUUUUCAGGUGUUUUACCGUGGUAGUGAGAUGUAUGAUCGAACAACAGAAAUACAUUUCAUUUAGCUAUAGGCCCUGGGCAUUAUGGUCAAACAGUUGUAUUGAGCUAAAACGAUUAGCCUUCAAUUGUCUGUGCAAAUUCUUAUGAAUGAAAAGCCAAAUAAAUACCAUUGAAUACCA